UACGUAGGGUGCGAGCGUUGUCCGGAAUUAUUGGGCGUAAAGGGCUCGUAGGCGGUUUGUCACGUCGGGAGCGAAAACUCGGGGCUUAACCCCGAGCCUGCUUCCGAUACGGGCUGACUAGAGGUAUGCAGGGGGGAACGGAAUUCCUGGUGUAGCGGUGAAAUGCGCAGAUAUCAGGAGGAACACCGAUUGCGAAGGCAGCUCGCUGGAACGUUACUGACGCUGAGAAGCGAAAGCGUGGGGAGCAAACAGG
rnacentral:rRNA from 1 species